GCAGUGAUGGUUCAGUGGUAGAAUUCCCAUCUUCCACAUGGAAGACCCAGGUUUGAUUCCUGGCCAAUGAA
rnacentral:tRNA from 1 species